UACGUAGGUGGCGAGCGUUGUCCGGAUUUACUGGGCGUAAAGGGCGUGCAGGCGGUUUGUUAAGUGCAGGGUGAAAGCUCCCGGCUCAACUGGGAGAGGUCCUUGCAUACUGGCGAACUCGAGGGAGGCAGAGGAAAGUGGAAUUCCCGGUGUAGUGGUGAUAUGCGCAGAUAUCAGGAGGAACACCGGUGGCGAAGGCGGAUCUCUGGGCCUUGCCUGACGCUGAGGCGCGAAAGCUAGGGGAGCGAACAGG
rnacentral:rRNA from 1 species